rnacentral:rRNA from 1 species
GACAGAGGGUGCAAACGUUGUUCGGAAUUACUGGGCGUAAAGCGCGUGUAGGCGGCCAUCUAAGUCGGGCGUGAAAUCCCACGGCUCAACCGUGGAAGUGCACUUGAAACUGGAUGGCUAGAGUCCUGGAGAGGAAGGUGGAAUGCUUGGUGUAGAGGUGAAAUUCGUAGAUAUCAAGCGGAACACCGGUGGCGAAGGCGGCCUUCUGGACAGUGACUGACGCUGAGACGCGAAAGCGUGGGGAGCAAACAGG